UAGGGAAUAUUGGACAAUGGGCGCAAGCCUGAUCCAGCCAUGCCGCGUGAGUGAAGAAGGCCCUCGGGUUGUAAAGCUCUUUUGUCCGGAAAGAAAAGCAUCGGGUUAAUACCCCGGUGUUCUGACGGUACCGGAAGAAUAAGCCCCGGCUAACUUCGUGCCAGCAGCCGCGGUAAUACGAGGGGGGCUAGCGUUGCUCGGAAUCACUGGGCGUAAAGGGUGCGUAGGCGGGUUUCUAAGUCAGAGGUGAAAGCCUGGAGCUCAACUCCAGAACUGCCUUUGAUACUGGAAGUCUUGAGUUCGGGAGAGGUGAGUGGAACUGCGAGUAUAGAGGUGAAAUUCGUAGAUAUUCGCAAGAACACCAGUGGCGAAGGCGGCUCACUGACCCGAUACUGACGCUGAGGCACGAAAGCGUGGGGAGCAAACA
rnacentral:rRNA from 1 species